CAGGCCUAACACAUGCAAGUCGAGCGGAGAUAUAGAGAGAUUCUUCGGAUACUUCCUUUAUCUUAGCGGCGGAUGGGUGAGUAACACGUGGGUAACCUGCCCUGCACAGGGGGAUAACAGCUGGAAACGGCUGUUAAUACCGCAUAUGCACACGCUGCCGCAUGGCAGAGGGUGGAAAGAUUUAUCGGUGCAGGAUGGGCCCGCGUCGGAUUAACUAGUUGGCAGGGUAACGGCCUACCAAGGUUAUGAUCCGUAGCCGACCUGAGAGGGUGACCGGCCACAUUGGGACUGAGACACGGCCCAAACUCCUACGGGAGGCAGCAGUGGGGGAUAUUGCACAAUGGGCGAAAGCCUGAUGCAGCGACGCCGCGUGAAGGAAGAAGUAUUUCGGUAUGUAAACUUCUAUCAGCGGGGAAGAAGAUGACGGUACCCGACUAAGAAGCCCCGGCUAACUACGUGCCAGCAGCCGCGGUAAUACGUAGGGGGCAAGCGUUAUCCGGAUUUACUGGGUGUAAAGGGAGCGUAGACGGCAGGGCAAGUCUGAUGUGAAAACCCGGGGCUCAACCCCGGGAUUGCAUUGGAAACUGUCUGACUUGAGUACUGGAGGGGUAAGCGGAAUUCCUGGUGUAGCGGUGAAAUGCGUAGAUAUCAGGAGGAACACCGGUGGCGAAGGCGGCUUACUGGACAGUAACUGACGUUGAGGCUCGAAAGCGUGGGGAGCAAACAGGAUUAGAUACCCUGGUAGUCCACGCCCUAAACGAUGAAUACUAGGUGUUGGCGACCACAGGUCGUCAGUGCCGCCGCAAACGCAUUAAGUAUUCCACCUGGGGAGUACGUUCGCAAGAAUGAAACUCAAAGGAAUUGACGGGGACCCGCACAAGCGGUGGAGCAUGUGGUUUAAUUCGACGCAACGCGAAGAACCUUACCAGGUCUUGACAUCCAGUAAAAGCCAUAGAGAUAUGGUGUGAGCUUGCUCAUACUGAGACAGGUGGUGCAUGGUUGUCGUCAGCUCGUGUCGUGAGAUGUUGGGUUAAGUCCCGCAACGAGCGCAACCCUUAUUUUCAGUUACUAACACGUAGAGGUGAGGACUCUGAAGAGACUGCCGGGGACAACUCGGAGGAAGGUGGGGACGACGUCAAAUCAUCAUGCCCCUUAUGACCUGGGCUACACACGUGCUACAAUGGCCACCACAGAGAGGAGCGAACCUGCGAGGGGGAGCGGAUCUCAAAAAAGUGGUCCCAGUUCGGAUUGUGGGCUGCAACCCGCCCACAUGAAGUCGGAGUUGCUAGUAAUCGCGGAUCAGCAUGCCGCGGUGAAUACGUUCCCGY
rnacentral:rRNA from 1 species